GUACACGCUGUGACUAGCAUAUCAAUAAGCGGAGGAAAAGAAACUAACAAGGAUUCCCUUAGUAACGGCGAGUGAAGCGGGAAGAGCUCAAAUUUGAAAUCUUCAAGGUUUCUACCUUGACGAAUUGUAGUUUAAAGAAGUGUUUUCUGCUGAAGUUUUGGUAAAAGUUCUUUGGAAUAGGACAUCAUAGAGGGUGAGAAUCCCGUAUUUGACCAUUAUUUUCAGCUUUGUGAUACACUUUCAAAGAGUCGGAUUGUUUGGGAAUGCAGUCCAAAAUGGGUGGUAAAUUUCAUCUAAAGCUAAAUAUUGGCGAGAGACCGAUAGCGAACAAGUACCGUGAGGGAAAGAUGAAAAGAACUUUGAAAAGAGAGUUAAACAGUACGUGAAAUUGUCAAAAGGGAAGCGUUUGACACCAGUGUUGUUUUCUCGAAAAUCAAUUAAAAAUGGCUCGAUUUUGUAUUGCUUGAGACCUUAAAAGCUCACUGUACAUUUUUCGUGUCUUUUUUAAUGCACUUUUCGUUUAACAAGUCAACAUCAGUUUCUUUUGUUGUAAAAGGGUCAUUGGAAGGUGGCUUUCUUUUCGGAGAAAGUGUUUAUAGCCUUUGGCCUCUGCAAUCGGAGAGACUGAGGUCUGCAGCGUAGACUCUUCGGGGUUAGAUACAUUUGUGCUAAGUUAUAGCUUUUUAUAGACAACUUGUUGACUAUAAUUAGUCUUGUAGCUUACUCGCUUAUGCUAUUUUACCUACGCUUAGGAUGUUGAGUAGCGACAUACGCAC
rnacentral:rRNA from 1 species